rnacentral:tRNA from 1 species
CGGGGCGUAGCUCAGUUUGGGAGAGCGCUACCUUGGGGUGGUAGGGGUGGUAGAGGUCGCAGGUUCAACUCCUGUAGCUCCGA